UACGUAGGGGGCAAGCGUUGUCCGGAUUCAUUGGGCGUAAAGAGCGUGUAGGCGGCCUGAAAGGUCAGCUGUGAAAACUCGAGGCUCAACCUCGAGACGUCGGUUGAAACCAUCUGGCUAGAGUCCGGAAGAGGAGUGUGGAAUUCCCGGUGUAGCGGUGAAAUGCGCAGAUAUCGGGAAGAACACCCGUGGCAAAGGCGGCACUCUGGGACGGUACUGACGCUGAGACGCGAAAGCGUGGGGAGCGAACAGG
rnacentral:rRNA from 1 species